rnacentral:rRNA from 1 species
CCUACGGGAGGCAGCAGUGGGGAAUAUUGCACAAUGGGGGAAACCCUGAUGCAGCGACGCCGCGUGAAGGAUGAAGUUUUUCGGUUUGUAAACUCCUAUCAGCAGGGAAGAAAAUGACGGUAUCUGACUAAUAAGCCCCGGCUAACUACGUGCCAGCAGCCGCGGUAAUACGGAGGGUGCAAGCGUUACCCGGAUUUACUGGGCGUAAAGGGAGCGUAGGCGGGAUUGCAAGUCAGAAGUGAAAGCCCAUGGCUUAACCAUGGUACUGCUUUGGAAACUGUUGUGCUUGAGUGCGGGAGGGGUAGGCGGAAUUCUUGGUGUAGCGGUAAAAUGCGUAGAGAUUAGGAGGAAGACCGGCGGCGAAGGCGACCUGCUAGAACGUAACUGACGCUGAGGCUCGAAAGCGUGGGGAGCAAACAGGAUUAGAUACCCUUGUAGUC